UCUCCGUUGGUGAACCAGCGGAGGGAUCAUUACAGAGUUGCAAAACUCCCAACCCUUUGUGAACGAACCUGACAGUUGCUUCGGCAGAAGGCCCUUCACUGGGCAGCCCGCCGGAGACCCCAAACUCUUGUGUUUUUUUCAGUAUUCUCUGAGUGGCAAACGCAAAAAUAAAUCAAAACUUUUAACAACGGAUCUCUUGGCUCUG
rnacentral:misc_RNA from 1 species